AGCGAACGCUGGCGGCAGGCUUAACACAUGCAAGUCGAGCGGGCAUCCUUGUGGUGUCAGCGGCAGACGGGUGAGUAACGCGUGGGAACGUGCCCUUCGGUUCGGAAUAACUCAGGGAAACUUGAGCUAAUACCGGAUACGUGCGAGAGCAGAAAGGUUUAUCUGCCGAAGGAUCGGCCCGCGUCUGAUUAGCUAGUUGGUGAGGUUAUGGCUCACCAAGGCGACGAUCAGUAGCUGGUCUGAGAGGAUGAUCAGCCACACUGGGACUGAGACACGGCCCAGACUCCUACGGGAAGCAGCAGUGGGGAAUAUUGGACAAUGGGUGCAACCCUGAUCCAGCCAUGCCGCGUGAGUGAUGACGGCCUUAGGGUUGUAAAGCUCUUUUCUCCGGGACGAUAAUGACGGUACCGGAGGAAUAAGCCCCGGCUAACUUCGUG
rnacentral:rRNA from 1 species